AGGGAAACUCUCACAUACAAGAACAAAUCACAAGAGCCAAGACGACUCUUGGAUCCUCUCUCUUCUUUCCCUUCGUCUCUCUCAAUCUCUCCAUUGUGUGUCUCACUCCUAACAGUGAGCCAUCAGUGUUAGCCUCUCGCAUUCCGCAACCCAACCUAGACCUGGAGACAUGUCGCAGGCUGAUAUCAGAAAGUGGUUUAUGAAGUCCCACGACAAGGGCAAUGCCUCCAAACCGGCUCCGGCUCCGGCUGCUUUGCCCAAACAGUCCACACAAUCUCAAGAACAGAAAGUGCAUGGAGGUCAAGAAAGUUCAGGCAGAAGGAAAACUAGCAAGCAUUUUCCCCCGAAUAAGUCAAAGCCGGAUGAGGAAAAGGAAACGGUUCAAGUGCCAGCAAAGCGAAAGAUUCAAUCGGGUCCUGUUGAAUCUAGCAGACCCUCGCCUGCGAAAAAAGUUCAGAAAGUUGAGGAUGAUGACGACGAUGAUUUUGUUAUGCCUCAAUCUAAGAAGAAAGAAGCCACGCCUAGCAAGAAACUGAAGACUGCAUCUGGCAAGGGAAUUCCACAGGAGCUGAAGUCUGCAGAUGAAAGUGAUGAUGAUGAAGCCAAGGGUUCUGAGGCUCCUCACAAAUCUGGUGGUAGGGGUCGCGGUGGAAGAGGUAGUUCAUCGGCUGCUCCAGCUGGUGGAAGAGGCAGAGGCGCUGGACGGGGUGGAUUUAUGAAUUUUGGUGAAAGGAAAGAUCCGCCGCACAAAGGGGAAAAGGAUGUUCCUGAAGGUGAUCCAAACUGUUUAGCUGGUUUAACUUUUGUAAUAAGUGGUACACUUGAUAGUUUGGAAAGAGAGGAGGCAGAAGAUUUAAUAAAACGCCAUGGAGGCCGUAUCACUGGAUCUGUCAGCAAGAAAACGAGCUAUCUUUUAUGUGAUGAAGAUAUUGAGGGCAGGAAAUCCUCAAAAGCCAAAGAACUUGGGACGGCUUUCCUUACCGAGGAUGGAUUGUUUGAUAAGAUUCGUGCAUCAAUUCGUGCUAAAGCACCUGUGCAAGAAGCAAAGAAACUUGUGGAUAGUGCCCAAGAAACAUCUUUGCCUAAUAUAAGCCCUAAGAAAGUAGCAUUAAAGAGUUCAGCAGAUGGCACUAGCAGCUCCUUGGCAUGUAGGGUAUCCCAAAAACAGUCAUCAUCAGAUGCUUCCCUUGCUAGGCGCAAAGAGAAAACUACAGAGCAUUCUGCUUUGACAUGGACAGAAAAAUAUAGACCAAAGGUUCCAAAUGACAUUAUUGGUAAUCAGUCACUGGUAAAACAGCUUCAUGAUUGGUUGGCACAUUGGCAUGAGCAAUUCCUUGAUACUGGAAUUAAGAAAAAAGGCAAUAAAUCAAACAAUUCGGGUGCUAAAAAAGCUUUAUUAUUAAGUGGAACACCUGGUAUAGGGAAAACAACGUCAGCAAAGUUGGUCAGUCAGAUGCUCGGUUUCGAGGCAAUUGAGGUAAAUGCAAGUGACAGUCGAGGGAAAGCUGAUUCCAAGAUUGUCAAGGGAGUCGGUGGAAGCAAUUCAAAUUCUGUUAAAGAGCUCAUCAGCAAUAUGGCUCUAAGCAUGGAUAGAUCUAAGCAUCCAAAAACUGUGCUCAUUAUGGAUGAGGUUGAUGGAAUGUCGGCUGGUGAUCGGGGUGGAGUUGCUGAUCUUAUUGCCAGCAUAAAGAUUUCUAAAAUUCCCAUUAUCUGCAUUUGUAAUGAUCGUUACAGUCAGAAACUGAAAAGUCUUGUGAACUACUGUUUGCUUCUCAGCUUCCGCAAACCAACUAAGCAACAGAUGGCAAAGAGGUUGAAGCAAGUUGCAAAUGCUGAAGGUCUUCAAGUGAAUGAGAUUGCUCUCGAGGAACUUGCAGACAGAGUUAACGGAGACAUGCGAAUGGCACUUAACCAGUUGCAUUACAUGAGUCUGUCAAUGUCUGUCAUAAAAUAUGAAGAUGUAAGGCAACGCCUGCGAAGCAGUGGAAAAGGAUGAGGACAUUUCACCAUUCACAGCUGUUGAUAAGCUGUUUAAUUUCAAUGCUGGGAAGUUGCGGAUGGAUGAGCGGGUUGACCUGAGCAUGAGUGACCCAGAUCUAGUCCCUCUUCUUAUUCAGGAAAAUUAUGUUAACUACAGGCCAAGUGCGGCUGCGAAGGAUAAUAGUGGUGUUGAACGUAUGAACUUGAUUGCCCGUGCGGCUGAGUCUAUUGGCAAUGGGGAUAUUAUCAAUGUACAAAUUAGAAAAUAUCGCCAAUGGCAACUUUCCCAAAGUGGUUCUCUGUCAUCCAGCAUAAUUCCGGCUGCUUUGUUGCGCGGUCAAAGGGAGACGCUUGAGCAGGGAGAAAGAAAUUUUAAUAGAUUCGGAGGGUGGCUGGGAAAGAACUCAACAUUUGGCAAAAAUCUGAGGCUCUUAGAUGAUUUGCAUGUCCAUCUUCUUGCAUCUCGUGCAUCUAGUUCAGGAAGGGAGACCCUCCGAGUUGAAUACCUUCCGCUCCUUCUGAAACGAUUAUCUGUGCCACUGCGAAAAUUACCGAAGGACGAAGCCGUUCAGGAAGUUGUGGAGUUCAUGAAUACUUACUCAAUUAGUCAGGAUGACUAUGAUACUAUCGUCGAGUUAUCAAAAUUUCAGGGGCAUCCAAAUCCUCUGGAGGGCAUCCAGCCGGCUGUAAAAGCAGCUCUGACAAAAGCAUACAAAGAAGGUAGCAAAUCAAGGGUACGAGUUGCAGAGUUUGUCACUUUCCCUGGAAUGAAAAAGGCUCCUAAGAAGAGGAUCGCAGCUAUUUUAGAACCAUCUGAUGAAGCAAUUGGAGAGAACAAUGAUGAUACUUUGGUUCUAAGUGAAGAAGAAAAUUCAUCGGAUGCAGAGGACUUGGAAAGCUCUGCUGUUGGGGAGAAGCUGCAGCAGGAACUUCAAAGUUUGAAUAGAAAAGGAGUUCAAGUUCAAUUGGAUAUGAAAGGUGCAGCAAAUACAAGUGCCAAGAGGACACUGGCUGGAAGAGGUAAAGGUGCUUCUUCUGGUACCUCUGAGAAAAAAGGUGGCCGAGGUUCAGGGUCUGGUUCCAAAAGAAAGAGAUGAGAGAUAAAAUAAGCGGUUUGCCUGUGUGUUCUGUUACCUUAUAUAAUCUCUAUGUAAAUAGAUAUUUCCUCCGCACAUACAAGAUUUUUGGUAGGUUACUUGGGAGGAUGAUAGGUUCUUCUUUACUAGUUACAUUGUCAAACGGUUAUGGGAACAUGGAAUUUUUCUGACAUAGUUUCGAGUACAUUGAGCACAUUUGGUUCUUUGUUAAAGUUAUUUUCCCUCCCAACUUCGCGUUUCUGCGUUGCAACCUUUCUGAUUCAUUAUGUAUCAGUAUCAGGGUACUCCACCACCUCCUAAAGUCAGAUAAUUUAUAGUCCAAGAAAUCAAAUGAUCUUUCUUCCAUGUUUGCCCUCAUCUUUCGCAUAAGGAACUGUUAGUUUGUUUGUUAUGUUUUAUCAUUCAAUAUGGCUGCACAAGGACUUCUUCCACAUUUGUCUUAGGGAAAAGCAAAGCAAAUUGCUCGUAAGGUCAUGCCUCUCAGAACUGUCAUUUUGUAGGGAGAAAACCAAGCGAGGGAACCCCGAAACUUUCAUGCUUCUUUUUCCAAACUUGUUUACGUGGCAGUACAUGGCAGUUUCAAGUCUAGCUAUAACCGAAGACCUGAAGUAGUAAGUUAAGGGCACUAUUAUGCUUUCGGAAGUGGUUUAGGUCGGAAGUGGUUUAGGUAGUUCGAUCAGCUCGCUGGUUAAAGCGAAGGGCUGAAAUUCUUUGUAUUUGUUUGUGUAUGAAACUUCAAGGAGAUUGAAAUUCUUAUAGAAUGUAUCAGAUGAUAGUAUACAAAGCAUCUUUAUAUCCAUACUUGCAAUGUUGUGCAUAUUUGACAUGA